CCUGGGGCUGAAGUAGGUCCCAAGGGUAUGGCUGUUCGCCAUUUAAAGUGGUACGCGAGCUGGGUUUAGAACGUCGUGAGACAGUUCGGUCCCUAUCUGCCGUGGGCGCUGGAGAACUGAGGGGGGCUGCUCCUAGUACGAGAGGACCGGAGUGGACGCAUCACUGGUGUUCGGGUUGUCAUGCCAAUGGCACUGCCCGGUAGCUAAAUGCGGAAGAGAUAAGUGCUGAAAGCAUCUAAGCACGAAACUUGCCCCGAGAUGAGUUCUCCCUGACUCCUUGAGAGUCCUGAAGGAACGUUGAAGACGACGACGUUGAUAGGCCGGGUGUGUAAGCGCAGCGAUGCGUUGAGCUAACCGGUACUAAUGAACCGUGAGGCUUAACCUU
rnacentral:rRNA from 1 species